rnacentral:rRNA from 1 species
AUUGAACGCUGUCGGCAGGCCUAACACAUGCAAGUCGGGCGAGCGGCUGACGGGUGAGUAAUGUAUGGGGAUCUGCCUGAUGGUGGGGGAUAACUACUGUAAACGGUAGCUAAUACCGCAUACCAUCAGAUGCACCCAUAUGGGAUUAGCUGGUAGGUAAGGUAACGGCUUACCUAGGCGACGAUCCCUAGCUGGUCUGAGAGGAUGAUAAGCCACACUGGGACUGAGACGCGGCACGGACUCAUACGGGAGGCAGCAGUGGGGAAUAUUGCACAAUGGGAGCAAGCCGGAUGCAGCCAUGCCGCGUGUAUGAAGAAGGCCUUCGGGAUGUAAAGUACUUUCAGUCGGGAGGCGUUACCGAAAGAAGAAGAACCGGCUAACUCCGUGCCAGCAGCAGCGGUAAUAC